AGUGAACGCUGGCGGUAGGCCUAACACAUGCAAGUCGAACGGCAGCACAGUAAGAGCUUGCUCUUACGGGUGGCGAGUGGCGGACGGGUGAGGAAUACAUCGGAAUCUACUUUUUCGUGGGGGAUAACGUAGGGAAACUUACGCUAAUACCGCAUACGACCUACGGGUGAAAGCAGGGGAUCUUCGGACCUUGCGCGAUUGAAUGAGCCGAUGUCGGAUUAGCUAGUUGGCGGGGUAAAGGCCCACCAAGGCGACGAUCCGUAGCUGGUCUGAGAGGAUGAUCAGCCACACUGGAACUGAGACACGGUCCAGACUCCUACGGGAGGCAGCAGUGGGGAAUAUUGGACAAUGGGCGCAAGCCUGACCCAGCCAUACCGCGUGGGUGAAGAAGGCCUUCGGGUUGUAAAGCCCUUUUGUUGGGAAAUAAAAGCAGCAGGUUAAUACCCCGCUGUUCUGACGGUACCCAAAGAAUAAGCACCGGCUAACUUCGUG
rnacentral:rRNA from 1 species